rnacentral:tRNA from 4 species
GUAGAUAUAGUUUAAAAAAACACUAGAUUGUGAUUCUAAAGAUAGAAGUUAAAACCUCCUUAUCCACC